CAUAGAUAAUUUAUCAACAUUGUUUGGAUUUGUUGAAAUCGAAUUACUUGACUUGGUUUUUUGUGUGUGCUAUUUUCAUGUGCUUAUGAAGACUUUCGGUAAAAAUUGGAGAUUUUAUAAUGAAUUUGUGUAAUUCUGUGACUCUCCGUGCAAUAUCAAGUAGCCAAUGGCUGUGGAAGAUGUAGACUUUAUUUUGAUAUCUACUUAGCUAUAAGCUACGAAAUGACUAGAAUGUUUUUUUACUGUAAUCCCUGAGUGAAUGGUUUUAGGUCAGUGAUUGUGUUGUGAGGGAUUCAGUUGGGUAUAUGAAGCAAUGAUCUUAAUAACAUUUUUUGUGAAAUAUGGUUUCGUAAAGCUUGAAGAGCAGGUAAUAUGUUGCUAGUAGAAGGAAUUAAAGCCGCUGGUUUUUGCCGUGAAAUGUUGGUUGGAAUGUUAAGUGAUAGUGGAAAAAAUUAUGUAAAACGGCAGCUGGAGCAGGGGCCUUUUUCCUCUGCUUUCCAUAGUUUUUCCGUAUGUUCCUUUUUCCUUGCUUUCCAUAGUUUUUCCUCUGAUUAAUUUGGUAUAAAAUUGUUAUUUAGUUACAUUGUAUUAUUGUCG
rnacentral:sRNA from 1 species